AGGCUCUCUAAAACCUAACUCUUUGAAACCCUAACCGUCACUCUCGGUCACCACUCACCAGCGACUACCAAUGAGCAUCUCCUCCGGUCCCCCGCCAUCUUUCCGAUGACAAUAAUCUCUUUCUUCCAUUCUCUCACUCCCAAUCUCUCACCAUUUCACCCUCUCGAUCGGACCUCUCACUCUCUCUAUCUCUCUCUAUCUCUAUCUCUUGCUCUAAAAUUCAAUCUCUAUCUUUUUUACUCUCACUCUCACUUUCUUACUCUCCAAUCUAUCCAUUCUCAGGUUGGCCGACCGAAACCCUAGCUCUAUCACCAUUACUCUAUGGUGGGCCAGUGGCUGCGAGACCAUCAACAACUUUGAUUCCCGUCAUCUUGUCACCAACCAUCACGUUAAUUCUCAAAAAAUUGGUCGUUCAAAAGUGAGGCAGCUCCGUGGCUCGUGGUCGUGGCUAUGUUGUGCUCGUGUGUGGAUCUGUGCUCAAAGCUACAAUAACGGUUUGGACAGAUUUUUUAUGGAAGAUAUGGAGUAUUAUGAAAGUUUAGAUGCAGUGUCACUCCAAGAUUUGCCAAAGCCAAACAGUAGCAACAACUCCGGAUAGCAACAAUAAAAAGGAUUGAUUGUGCAUUGUGGAGUGGAUGGACUUGAAAAUUAAAAGUUUUUGACAAUGAUGAAAGCUUUAUAAUAGUGGCAAUAGGAGAGUGGCUUUGGAUUUUUGGAGGGUUUGGUAGUGGCAGCAGGAGAAAGGUAAUGGCUAUUGGAAUGGUAGUGACAAUUGCACUUUGGAAUUGUAAUUUGUUAUUUUGACAUUUGCAUUUUGUGUUUGCAUUUCUCAUUCUCUUUUUUGGCCGUGCCAAUGGCAGACUAGAAGUGGCAUUGCAUUUCUCAAUUUUCAAUUUUCCCUUUGAUAUAUGUUGAAUUCUUGAUCAAUUUGUAUUUGUAUUAUUAAACAUUACAUUAGUAUUUUAAAUU